UCCCUACGGGGGGCAGCAGUGGGGGAUAUUGCACAAUGGGGGGAACCCUGAUGCAGCGACGCCGCGUGGGUGAAGGAGCGUUUCGGCGCGUAAAGCCCUAUCGGCAGGGAAGAAGAUGACGGUACCUGACCAAGAAGCCCCGGCUAACUACGUGCCAGCAGCCGCGGUAAUACGUAGGGGGCAAGCGUUAUCCGGAUUUACUGGGUGUAAAGGGAGCGUAGACGGCAUAGCAAGUCUGAAGUGAAAGCCCGUGGCUCAACCGCGGAACUGCUUUGGAAACUGUUAAGCUGGAGUACUGGAGAGGG
rnacentral:rRNA from 1 species